CCACAGACUUGUCUACACGUCCUCAGGCUGGAGAGAACAUCAAGGAGGGAAUUUCAUGACUGCAAAUCGGUCUUUCCAAAAUAAUAUUCCUAAUGAUAGCUACUGUUUACGGAGUGCUUCCUCUGCGUGCCGGGCCUGCACUUGCUGAGCACCGUGCAUCCGAUAGCCAUAAUCAACUAAAUUUACUUCAUGCUUACCAACGGGUUGCUGUGGAUGGUCUGAAGAAAACCACUGAUGUAAGAUAAUCAUCAUUCAUUAAAUUCUAACCCCACCCCUAUGAGGAUCACCCCUUCGCCUCCAUGUGGUCCUGGUGAGACUGCCUAUCUUAGCAACCGCCCC
rnacentral:lncRNA from 1 species